rnacentral:rRNA from 1 species
CAAUAGCGUAUAUUAAAGCUGUUGCGGUUAAAAAGCUCGUAGUUGGAUUUCUGUCAAGGACAACUGGUCCGCCCCUCGGGUGAGCACAUAGUUUGGUCUUGGCAUCUUGUUGGAAACUGUUGCUGCACUUGGUUGUGUGGCGCAGUGUCCAGCACUUUCACUUUGAGGAAAUUGGAGUGGUUCAAGCAGGCACAUGCCUUUGGACACAGUAGCAUGGAAUAAUUAGAUUGGGCUUUUGCUCCAACUUGUCGGUUUCUGGAGCUGAGGUGAGAAUUAAUGGGGAUUGUUGGGGGCAUCCGAAUUUAGCCGUCAGAGGUGAAAUUCUUGGAUCUGCUAAAGACGGACAACUGCGAAAGCGUUUGCCCAGGAUGUUUUCAUUGA